GCCUACGGGCGCAGAAGUAGGGAAUAUUGAAUAAUGGGAGAAAGCCUGAUGGAGCAACGCCGCGUGGGUGAAGAAGGUCUUCGGAUCGUAAAACCCUGUUGUUAGAGAAGAAAGUGCGUGAGAGUAACUGUUCACGUUUCGACGGUAUCUAACCAGAAAGCCACGGCUAACUACGUGCCAGCAGCCGCGGUAAUACGUAGGUGGCAAGCGUUAUCCGGAUUUAUUGGGCGUAAAGGGAACGCAGGCGGUAUUUUAAGUCUGAUGUGAAAGCCUUCGGCUUAACCGGAGUAGUGCAUUGGAAACUG
rnacentral:rRNA from 1 species